UAGGCUAAUCCUCCACCUUGCGGCGCCGGCACACCGGGUUCUAGACCCGGUUGGGGUGCCGGAUUCUGUCCCGGUUGCCCCUCUUCCAGGCCAGCUCUCUGCUGUGGCCAGGGAGUGCAGUGGAGGAUGGCCCAGGUGCUUGGGCCCUGCACCCCAUGGGAGACCAGGAAAAGCACCUGGCUCCUGGCUCCUGCCAUCGGAUCAGCGCGGUGCGCCGGCCACAGCGCGCCGGCCGCGGCGGCCAUUGGAGGGUGAACCAACGGCAAAGGAAGACCUUUCUCUCUGUCUCUCUCUCUCACUGUCCACUCUGCCUGUCAAAAAAAUAAAUAAAUAAAUAAAUAAAUAAAUAAAUAAAAU